AAGUCGUAACAAGGUUUCCGUAGGUGAACCUGCGGAAGGAUCAUUUCCAAAAAAAACAAAACAAUAUAAACCAACCUUUGUGAAGAGUUUUAUAUUCUUUUUUUUACUUUGGGUGUGGGGAAAAAGUAUACUUCAAUUGUGUAUGUUUGAAAGAAAAUGCGAGUCCAGACUUAAUUGUCUGGCUAACAUCGAAACUCAGCUUGCUUUUGAUACUAUAUGUACAUUACCCCGCCCAAAGGCCAUGAUGAACUACCUCUUUGAGGUUGAUGUCCUAUUUAUAUUUUUCAAUCAUACGAAAGUAUAUAACAAAUGACAUGACAACUUUUAACGGUGGAUCUCUUGGCUCGU
rnacentral:misc_RNA from 1 species